rnacentral:tRNA from 13 species
GGAACCCGCGGCCAAGUGGUAAGGUCUCGGCUUUGGGACCGGAAGGUUCCAGGUUCGAAACCUGAUUCCA